AGACGGGUGAGUAACAUGUGGGAAUCUGCCUUGUGGUUCAGGACAACAUUGGGAAACUGAUGCUAAUACUGGAUAAGCCCUUACGGGGAAAGUUUUAAUGCCAUAACAUGAGCCCGCACUUGAUUAGUUAGUUGGUGAGGUAAUGGCUCACCAAGACAAUGAUCAAUAGCCGAUCUGACAGGAUGAUCACCCACACUGGGACUGAGACACGGCCCACACUCCUACGGGAGGCAGCAGUGGGGAAUCUUGCACAAUGGAGGAAACUCUGAUGCAGCGAUGCCGCGUGAGUGAAGAAGGCCUUUGGGUUGUAAAGCUCUUUUGUAGGGGAAGAUAAUGACUGUACCCUAAGAAUAAGGUCCGGCUAACUUCGUGCCAGCACCCGCGGUAAUACGAAGGGACCUAGCGUAGUUCGGAAUUACUGGGCGUAAAGCGCGCGUAGGCCGUUGAGUUAGUUAAUUGUGAAAUCCCAAAGCUUAACUUUGGAACUGCAAUUAAAACUGCUCGACUAGAGUUUGAUAGAGGAAAGCGGAAUACAUACUGUAGAGGUGAAAUUCGUACAUAUUAUGUAGAACACCAGUUGCGAAAGCGGCUUUCUGGAUCAACACUGACGCUGAGGCGCGAAAGUAUGGGUAGCAAAGAGGAUUAGAUACCCUCGUAGUCCAUACCAUAAACGAUGAUUGCUAGAUGUUGGAAAUUUAUUUUCAGUAUCGCAGCUAACGCAUUAAGCAAUCCGCCUGGGGAGUACGACCGCAAGGUUAAAACUCAAAUGAAUUGACGGGGACCCGCACAAGCGGUGGAGCAUGUGGUUUAAUUCGAAGAUACGCGCAGAACCUUAC
rnacentral:rRNA from 1 species